rnacentral:rRNA from 1 species
GUGGGGAAUCUUAGACAAUGGGGGCAACCCUGAUCUAGCCAUGCCGCGUGAGUGAUGAAGGCCUUAGGGUCGUAAAGCUCUUUCGCUGGGGAAGAUAAUGACGGUACCCAGUAAAGAAACCCCGGCUAACUCCGUGCCAGCAGCCGCGGUAAUACGGAGGGGGUUAGCGUUGUUCGGAAUUACUGGGCGUAAAGCGCGCGUAGGCGGAUUGGAAAGUUGGGGGUGAAAUCCCGGGGCUCAACCCUGGAAUGGCCUUCAAAACUCCCAGUCUUGAGGUCGAGAGAGGUGAGUGGAAUUCCGAGUGUAGAGGUGAAAUUCGUAGAUAUUCGGAAGAACACCAGUGGCGAAGGCGACACACUGGCUCAUUACUGACGCUGAGGCGCGAAAGCGUGGGGAGCAAACAGGAUUAGAUACCCCGGUAGUCC